rnacentral:lncRNA from 1 species
UGCAGGCAGAGCCAGCCAUAUUUAAAGGGAAAGAUGUCAUGAAGUUGAUCAAGUUGGAAGAACGUCACAUGUUUUUAGUGCAGUGCAGAAUCAAUGGUGUAUUUCCAAUGUCCAUUAACAAAUUAAAGUUACUGGUAAGAUCAAAAAUUUUACUAGCUAGUACCAAAAGACAUUGUUUGUCGGCUGCUAUUACGGAUUCAAGAAGGCAAUUAUAUUGUUGGAAAUUUUACAUGCAGAGGUUUACACUUCAAGAAUGUUGAGCAAUUAAAGCUUGUUCUACCAUCUUUUAUGAGGUUUGUUGAUACGAAUCAACGCAAGAUUAGGAAAAGAUAUAUUAAAAAGCUAUGGUUGUUGAUAUCUAAACAAAUUAAAAAGAACGCUCCUAAUAACAACAAAACGUAUGUAGCCUUGGAUGACAUCAUCAUUCCUAGAUACGUGCACGAUACUUUAGCAAUAGGACCUAAUAAUUUGAUCCAGAACAUUCCCUCUUAGAGGCAUUUAUCAGUUCAACUAGAACUGAUACUCCAAACCUGCGAUCCCAUUAGAACUGACGAUAUUAGGUGGCAGGUAGCUUGAGCCUAUAACAACUAUAAUUUUAAUGAUGUAAAUUCUAUAAGGUCUAAGAUUAAACAGACAGAGAGAUGGUUUGAAGAUAAUAACAUAAUUUGCAUUAGAGAUGAUAAAAGUAAAUUAAUCGUUCUCAUUAAAUAAGAUACAUGUGACUCCUGUAUUAGCAACUUUAUCCAAGAGAACAACUGCCAACCGUUAGAUUACGAUCUGACCGAAACCCUGGAUAGAGAAGUUCAUAAGAUUCUAAGAGAUAAGCGGCUUCCAAGAUUCUUAAAAGAUUCCUAUGUUAAAUCGCCUAGACCCCCCAAGAUUGUUUGCCUUUAUUAAAAGACAUAAAAAUCCGCUAGAAGUAGGACCGGUCAUGGAGUAGUUUUCAGCACCGACAU